UCAAAAUGUUGAGGGCAAGAUUUAAUGAAGCAACAGCAAGAAAGCACAUAGACCAGAGCUCUGGGGUCGAAACUCAUGCACCUAGUAUGGUGUAGAGGAGAAUCGACCUCGAGCCAAAUUUUUCACAGGCUUAUAUAGGAAAAACUCAAGGGGGGAGAGCGGGGCAGGGAAAGUACAAGUUUGCAUAACUAAGGGGUUCUGCCAAGGGACAAGGGGUUCUGCCAAGGGAAUUCUACAUAACUAAGGGGUCAUGUCCUAUUAUUUGGCAAUGUACCCGGUUCAUUCUGAGGUUGUUCCAGGAGGCCCUUAUCUCAAAAAUGUUCUUGGAACAGUCUUUAGUUGGGAGGGUUCGAACUCUAGGGU
rnacentral:lncRNA from 1 species